GCUACGGGGUGCUGCAGUGGGGAAUAUUGCACAAUGGGGGAAACCCUGAUUCCGCGACGCCGCGUGAGUGAAGAAGUAAUUCGUUAUGUAAAGCUCUAUCAGCAGGGAAGAAAAUGACGGUACCUGAGUAAAAAGCCCCGGCUAACUAAGUCCCAGCCGCCGCGGUAAUACGUAGGGGGCCAGCGUUAUCCGGAUUUACUGGGUGUAAAGGGAGCGUAGACGGAAGUGCAAGUCUGGAGUGAAAGGCGGGGGCUCAACCCCCGGACUGCUCUGGAAACGGUACGGCUGGAGUGCAGGAGAGGUAAGUGGAAUGCCUAGUGUAGCGGUGAAAUGCGUAGAUAUUAGGAGGAACACCAGUGGCGAAGGCGGCUUACUGGACUGUAACUGACGUUGAGGCUCGAAAGCGUGGGGAGCAAACAGGAUUAGAUACCCGGGUAGUC
rnacentral:rRNA from 1 species